AAGGUAGCGUAAUCAUUUGUUCUUUAAAUAAGGACUGGUAUGAAAGGCUAAACGAGAAUCUAUCUGUCUCUUGCAGAAGGCCAGUGAAAUUGAUCUCCCUGUGCAAAAGCAGGGAUUUUAACAUCAGACGAGAAGACCCUGUGAAACUUUCAAACUCCUGAACCAUAAUUAACUAAAAUUUUCCCUAAACUAGCCCCACUAUCACUAAUGCCUUGGCUCAGAGUUUUCGGUUGGGGCGACCCCAAAACAAAAAAAAACUUUACAGGAAAAUUGUAACACAACCACUUACUAAGGCCCACACUACAAAGUGCUUAAAUGUAAUCAGAUCCGGCACACACCGAUUUAUGAACCAAGCUACUCCAGGGAUAACAGCGCAAUCCCCCUCAAGAGCCCUUAUCGACAGGGGGGUUU
rnacentral:rRNA from 1 species